rnacentral:rRNA from 1 species
GUGGGGAAUAUUGGACAAUGGGCGAAAGCCUGAUCCAGCCAUGCCGCGUGUGUGAAGAAGGUCUUCGGAUUGUAAAGCACUUUAAGUUGGGAGGAAGGGCAGUAAGUUAAUACCUUGCUGUUUUGACGUUACCGACAGAAUAAGCACCGGCUAACUUCGUGCCAGCAGCCGCGGUAAUACGAAGGGUGCAAGCGUUAAUCGGAAUUACUGGGCGUAAAGCGCGCGUAGGUGGUUUUGUAAGUUGGAGGUGAAAUCCCCGGGCUCAACCUGGGAACUGCCUCCAAAACUGCAUGACUAGAGUACGGUAGAGGGUAGUGGAAUUUCCUGUGUAGCGGUGAAAUGCGUAGAUAUAGGAAGGAACACCAGUGGCGAAGGCGACUACCUGGACUGAUACUGACACUGAGGUGCGAAAGCGUGGGGAGCAAACAGGAUUAGAAACCCGUGUAGUAC